rnacentral:rRNA from 1 species
UACAGAGGAUGCAAGCGUUAUCCGGAAUGAUUGGGCGUAAAGAGCUUGUAGGCGGUUUGUCGCGUCUGCUGUGAAAUUUCGGGGCUCAACCCCGAACUUGCAGUGGGUACGGGCAGACUAGAGUGUGGUAGGGGAGACUGGAAUUCCUGGUGUAGCGGUGAAAUGCGCAGAUAUCAGGAGGAACACCGAUGGCGAAGGCAGGUCUCUGGGCCAUAACUGACGCUGAGAAGCGAAAGCAUGGGGAGCGAACAGG